AGAGUUUGAUCAUGGCUCAGGACGAACGCUGGCGGCACGCUUAACACAUGCAAGCCGAAUGAGAGAAGAGGAGCUUGCUUUUCUGAUCUAGUGGCGGACGGGUGAGUAACACGUGAGCAAUCUGCCUUUCAGAGGGGGAUACCGAUUGGAAACGAUCGUUAAUACCGCAUAACAUAAUUGAACCGCAUGAUUUGAUUAUCAAAGAUUUAUCGCUGAAAGAUGAGCUCGCGUCUGAUUAGCUAGUUGGUAAGGUAACGGCUUACCAAGGCGACGAUCAGUAGCCGGACUGAGAGGUUGAUCGGCCACAUUGGGACUGAGACACGGCCCAGACUCCUACGGGAGGCAGCAGUGGGGAAUAUUGCACAAUGGAGGAAACUCUGAUGCAGCGAUGCCGCGUGAGGGAAGAAGGUUUUAGGAUUGUAAACCUCUGUCUUCAGGGACGAAAAAAGACGGUACCUGAGGAGGAAGCUCCGGCUAACUACGUGCCAGCAGCCGCGGUAAUACGUAGGGAGCGAGCGUUGCCCGGAAUUACUGGGUGUAAAGGGAGCGUAGGCGGGAUCGCAAGUCAGAUGUGAAAACUAUGGGCUUAACCCAUAAACUGCAUUUGAAACUGUGGUUCUUGAGUGAAGUAGAGGUAAGCGGAAUUCCUAGUGUAGCGGUGAAAUGCGUAGAUAUUAGGAGGAACAUCAGUGGCGAAGGCGGCUUACUGGGCUUUAACUGACGCUGAGGCUCGAAAGCGUGGGGAGCAAACAGGAUUAGAUACCCUGGUAGUCCACGCCGUAAACGAUGAUUACUAGGUGUGGGGGGACUGACCCCUUCCGUGCCGCAGCAAACGCAAUAAGUAAUCCACCUGGGGAGUACGACCGCAAGGUUGAAACUCAAAGGAAUUGACGGGGGCCCGCACAAGCAGUGGAGUAUGUGGAUUAAUUCGAAGCAACGCGAAGAACCUUACCAGGUCUUGACAUCGUAUGCAUGGCUCAGAGAUGAGUGAAAUCUCUUCGGAGACAUAUAGACAGGUGGUGCAUGGUUGUCGUCAGCUCGUGUCGUGAGAUGUUGGGUUAAGUCCCGCAACGAGCGCAACCCUUACUGUUAGUUGCUACGCAAGAGCACUCUAGCAGGACUGCCGUUGACAAAACGGAGGAAGGUGGGGAUGACGUCAAAUCAUCAUGCCCCUUAUGACCUGGGCCUCACACGUACUACAAUGGCUGUCAACAGAGGGAAGCAAAGCCGCGAGGUGGAGCGAACCCCUAAAAGCAGUCUUAGUUCGGAUUGUAGGCUGCAACCCGCCUACAUGAAGUCGGAAUUGCUAGUAAUCGCAGAUCAGCAUGCUGCGGUGAAUACGUUCCCGGGCCUUGUACACACCGCCCGUCACGCCAUGGGAGUCGGUAACACCCGAAGCCUGUAGUCUAACCGCAAGGAGGACGCAGUCGAAGGUGGGAUUGAUGACUGGGGUGAAGUCGUAACAAGGUA
rnacentral:rRNA from 1 species